AACGAACGCUGGCGGCAUGCCUAACACAUGCAAGUCGAACGAGACCUUCGGGUCUAGUGGCGCACGGGUGCGUAACGCGUGGGAACCUGCCCUUAGGUUCGGAAUAACUCCCCGAAAGGGGUGCUAAUACCGGAUAAUGUCUUCGGACCAAAGAUUUAUCGCCUUUGGAUGGGCCCGCGUUGGAUUAGCUAGUUGGUAGGGUAAAAGCCUACCAAGGCGACGAUCCAUAGCUGGUCUGAGAGGAUGAUCAGCCACACUGGGACUGAGACACGGCCCAGACUCUUACGGAAGGCGGAAGUGGGAAUAUUGGACAAUGGGCGAAAGCCUGAUCCAGCAAUGCCGCGUGAGUGAUGAAGGCCUUAGGGUUGUAAAGCUCUUUUACCCGGGAUGAUAAUGACAGUACCGGGAGAAUAAGCUCCGGCUAACUCCGUG
rnacentral:rRNA from 1 species